ACGGCUGCAGAGGCACAGGUGCAAAGGUACUAAUGACUAGAUAAUUGCCCAUCUGAGCAUCAAUGCAUUUUAGUUUGGUCAAUUGAAACCAUCACGCUAGAAAAUAAUACGAGUAUCCGUAGUACAAAUGGCUGUUGUUCUCUUUACGCUACGUGAUGUACACUUGACUUCACGAAACAAAACAACAUCACUUUCGAAUGAAACCCGAAGUUCCACCAAUCGUUCUCCUUAAACUACCACCGCCUGGCAAGUGACGGGUUCCAGCCAACAAAUUCUCACGCACCUGACGACUCCUCUUGGAUGACUUGGGCGGUAGGCUGAUCCUACUCGAAUCACUGAUUUCCGUGCUCUCCAGGACACGAAUCGAUGUCCCACCAAUCCUAAUAUCCUUCGGCUCCUUCUCAAUAUUAUCUAGAAACUUAUGUUUUUUUGACUUUGGCAUGGACGACAACACUAUCUCAGAUAUGCGGGUGAUUCUACUAUCGUUUGAUGUAGGUUCUGCGUUCAAGAUCUCAUCCGGGAGCAGCUUGGGAAGCGAUCUGAUGGGUUUGGAAAGAGAUCCCUGGAAUGUCGCGGAGCUUUCGGAGAGAAGUUCGUUUUCCCCUGCGCGGUGAUCUUGUGGAAUGGAAAAGGCGUGUUCAAUUAUUACCGGG
rnacentral:sRNA from 1 species